UACGGAGGGCGCAAGCGGUGUUCGGAAUCACUGGGCGUAAAGCGCGUGUAGGCGGCUUGGCAAGUCGGGUGGGAAAGCCCGGGGCCUAACCCCGGAACUGCAUUCGAAACUGCCUCGCUCGAGUCCCGGAGAGGAUGGUGGAAUUCCCGGUGUAGUGGUGAAAUACGUAGAUAUCGGGAGGAACACCAGCGGCGAAGGCGGCCAUCUGGACGGUGAAUGACGCUGAGACGCGAAAGCGUGGGGAGCAAACAGG
rnacentral:rRNA from 1 species